AAAGUUCUUUUAUUUGGGAAGAACCACUNAAAUAGGAAAUGAUUUUAGUUUGACUGUACCAUUUGAAUAAGUAUCGGCUAACUAUGUGCCAGCAGCCGCGGUAAUACAUAGGAUGCAAGCGUUAUCCGGAUUUACUGGGCGUAAAACGAGCGCAGGCGGAUUUGUAAGUUUGGCAUGAAAUCUAGAUGCUUAACGUCUAGCUGNAUCAAAAACUACGAAUCUAGAGUGUAGCAGAGAGUUGGGGAACUCCAUGUGGAGCGGUAAAAUGCGUAGAUAUAUGGAAGAACACCGGUGGCGAAGGCGCCAACUUGGACUAUUACUGACGCUUAGGCUCGAAAGUGUGGGGAGCAAAUAGGAUUAGAUACCCUAGUAGUCCACACCGUAAACGAUCAUCAUUAAAUGUCGGCUCGCUUAUGAGUCGGUG
rnacentral:rRNA from 1 species